GAUGAACGCUGGCGGCGUGCCUAAUACAUGCAAGUCGAGCGAACGGACGAGGAGCUUGCUUCUCUGAUGUUAGCGGCGGACGGGUGAGUAACACGUGGAUAACCUACCUAUAAGACUGGGAUAACUUCGGGAAACCGGAGCUAAUACCGGAUAAUAUUUUGAACCGCAUGGUUCAAAAGUGAAAGACGGUCUUGCUGUCACUUAUAGAUGGAUCCGCGCUGCAUUAGCUAGUUGGUAAGGUAACGGCUUACCAAGGCAACGAUGCAUAGCCGACCUGAGAGGGUGAUCGGCCACACUGGAACUGAGACACGGUCCAGACUCCUACGGGAGGCAGCAGUAGGGAAUCUUCCGCAAUGGGCGAAAGCCUGACGGAGCAACGCCGCGUGAGUGAUGAAGGUCUUCGGAUCGUAAAACUCUGUUAUUAGGGAAGAACAUAUGUGUAAGUAACUGUGCACAUCUUGACGGUACCUAAUCAGAAAGCCACGGCUAACUACGUGCCAGCAGCCGCGGUAAUACGUAGGUGGCAAGCGUUAUCCGGAAUUAUUGGGCGUAAAGCGCGCGUAGGCGGUUUUUUAAGUCUGAUGUGAAAGCCCACGGCUCAACCGUGGAGGGUCAUUGGAAACUGGAAAACUUGAGUGCAGAAGAGGAAAGUGGAAUUCCAUGUGUAGCGGUGAAAUGCGCAGAGAUAUGGAGGAACACCAGUGGCGAAGGCGACUUUCUGGUCUGUAACUGACGCUGAUGUGCGAAAGCAUGGGGAUCAAACAGGAUUAGAUACCCUGGUAGUCCACGCCGUAAACGAUGAGUGCUAAGUGUUAGGGGGUUUCCGCCCCUUAGUGCUGCAGCUAACGCAUUAAGCACUCCGCCUGGGGAGUACGACCGCAAGGUUGAAACUCAAAGGAAUUGACGGGGACCCGCACAAGCGGUGGAGCAUGUGGUUUAAUUCGAAGCAACGCGAAGAACCUUACCAAAUCUUGACAUCCUUUGACAACUCUAGAGAUAGAGCUUUCCCCUUCGGGGGACAAAGUGACAGGUGGUGCAUGGUUGUCGUCAGCUCGUGUCGUGAGAUGUUGGGUUAAGUCCCGCAACGAGCGCAACCCUUAAGCUUAGUUGCCAUCAUUAAGUUGGGCACUCUAAGUUGACUGCCGGUGACAAACCGGAGGAAGGUGGGGAUGACGUCAAAUCAUCAUGCCCCUUAUGAUUUGGGCUACACACGUGCUACAAUGGACAAUACAAAGGGCAGCGAAACCGCGAGGUCAAGCAAAUCCCAUAAAGUUGUUCUCAGUUCGGAUUGUAGUCUGCAACUCGACUACAUGAAGCUGGAAUCGCUAGUAAUCGUAGAUCAGCAUGCUACGGUGAAUACGUUCCCGGGUCU
rnacentral:rRNA from 1 species